rnacentral:lncRNA from 1 species
GUCAUGCAAGAAGGAGGCGGCGGCGGCGGCCGGAGCUGGAGGGGGAGGAGGGGAGGAACCUGAUCCUCGGUAGCGAAGGGCUGGAGGCAAACACCGAGCUCCCCCUGAGCCGCCUGGGAGCAGGGAGGGUUCUGCUACCCUGAGGGGCCCUCCCCGCGGGGCAGAGGGUAAGUGGGGAGGCGCAGGUGGUCGCCUUGGGAAGGGAGCGCGCAGGGGGGUUAGGUGGGACGGCGGGACCGCUAGGAGCUACCCGAGCCCCAAGGAGUCAAGUGUCCGACUAAUAGGAGCCCAGGCUAUAGAAGAGUUGGUCUGCCAGUAGCAGCAAGAACUAUUUGCCUAAUGACAGUUGUCCUUAGCCACACGGUGGGUGGAGUUGUAGAUCCCGAACUCAGGACCCAUCUAAAGGCAAUGAUUCACGGUUGCAGGAACUUAAUCCCAGCAGCCCUGGCGCUGUAGGACACCCUUGAAAUGAAAAGGCCAACACACCCCAGGUUCCUCUAGCCUUUCUGGACUUUCUGGGUUGUCUUCUUCAAAUCUAGGGGAAAGGCUGGGAAACUGGCCCAACCCCACUUUAGCCACAAAAAUAACGCUCUUGGCCGGUGGCCCUAGACAAGCAGCCUCUGGUGCAAUUAAACAAUCAAUAGGAAAAAGCCCACCCUCCUCCCUUCUUCACCAGCUCCUUCCACCAAGGUAAUUCAUGGGGCUUAAAGGAGAAAGAAAAUGUGGUAUAUGUUGCCCUAUCCAAGCUGUCAGUCAGUCUGCCACUACACAAAUGGCCACCUGUACACUCCAGGGUUCACCCUGCCUUCAGAGGGAUGCUUGUGAGAGACACAACAAUACUGCUCCAGGUAGCAAGAGGAGACCACCUUAAACUCCCGACAAUUUCACCUCCAUUGCCCCUUCUCCCCCCUCCCCCGCCCCCCAGGGGAAUUGGAAACCUAGACUUGAGAGCAAUGAACUGUAGAGACAGGCUGGGCACAUAGGAACACUGCUCUUUCACCUGCCCGCAGUUCUCAGGACAGCAAUUAUUGUUAUUAUUAUUAUUAUUAUUAUUAUUAUUAUUAUUAUCUUAUGUUCCUUUCCAUGUCCCUCCUGGAAAUCUCAAGAAGCACUUUCUGGAACGUUUUAAUGUCAGUCGUACAUUUAGAAGUAGGGGUUGAGGGGAUUAACGGAAAGGCUAAUGACUGUCUCAAAAGCACAUGCGGUUGCUAGGGAACUCAUGCUCGUCCCUGCUCUCUAAUCACCAGUGCGUUCCAGGGAAAUCAAACUGCUCGGGGUGUUAUUAAAAUGAACGGCAUUUGGUUGAAGGCUUCUUUGCUUAUGUUGUAGCAUCCUGGAUUGUUAUCGAUUGCCUCACACCCACAUACCUUGUUUUCCUAAUUUGAUUUCUGUAUUUGCGUCACUGCCAGGGACACUCAGACUAGACCAGUCAGGUUCACUUCCUGUUUCUCAGAACUGGUUUAUAUUUGGUCUCUGUGCUCUAGCUGGUAAGACAUUAUCACGCUGAUCCUCUUGGAAAGGAAUCUUUGCUUUCCGUUGACAACAAAUUAUCCCAAUUAAAUGCUAAUUCUCGUGGAAAACGUCAUUGUAGGAGGGUUAAGGCACUACUGGGAUACUUUAUUAGCCAUUUGAGAAAGCCAUUCUUAACAUGUAAAGCAAGAAAAACCCAUCCCCCCUCCUGCCCCCCCCCAAAAGAAACUUCAUUCCCCAGCUUUGGAACUAAAACAAACUCAA